GAAACACCAGUUCACAUACGAUCACCAAGGUUAAGCAAUGCUGAGCCUGGUCAUCACCUAGAUGGGUGACCACUUGGGAAUACUAGGUGCUGUAAG